GUAACCAACAAACACAGAGCCAUUUUCACUCUUUCGCUGAAGCCUGAAACUGAGAGAGCAUAGAAAUCUCACAGAGCGCAUGGAAAUCUCAUAGAGCUCGUCGAUCAUCGAUUAGGUACGUAAUCGCACAGCUCCGAUUAGGUACGAUCUCGGUUUUGUGACUCUUCCUCUCUCUUGGCGUUGUGUUUCUCAGCUCCGGUUAGGUUGUAGCACAGAAGGAAGCUGAAAUCACUGAGAAGGAUUCGCUUCUUCUGCUUACUUGGACCUGCUACAACUUCUAUCAGUUAACACCAACAAAAUUGGCCGGGGAGAAUUAUUUCUUUCAUUCUGGGCAGGGUGGUUAGGAUAAGUUGGAUGUGUGAAGUAAAUCUGGAAGCGGUUCUUCUUGCAUUGUGCUCAAAGCAAUACAGCCAAGCAUAAGUGCCUAUGUCUUGUUUGCAGCUUAAUUUGGUUGCAAACUAGAGGGUUUUUGAGAAAACCAGCAACUACUACAGAACAUCUGCACCUGAGUUGAAAGAGAAAAGAGCAAAGCCAUUGGAAGAGUGGAUGAACAUAGAAAGCAGUUUUGGUGAGCUUGAUGAUAUUAGUUUAGUCCAAGCUAAGCUGCCAAAAAAGCUGAAAAAGAGGAGGCAGAUGCUGUCUGAGAUAUAAUUGUGUUCCAUUACAUUUUGUAAGCUUUCCUUGUUUGCCUUUGCUAACAAGUUUAUAUUGGCAGAUAUGAGAAAUACAUUGACUACAUGUUCCCAGAGGAAACUCAGACGACUAAUCUUAGAAUAUUGGAAGCUGCACAUAGGUGGAAGAAGCAAAAGAUUUCUGAUAAAGACUAGCAUGGUAACGUGCUUUUGUAGAAUUGAAGCUUUUGGUGUAAAUACAUAAUUGCUUUUUUAAUGUUAAUUGGGUGAAAAUGAAGUAGCCUUGACAGUUAGUAGGGCAAUAAGUUUUGCUAGAGAACUUUGCAUUUCUAAGGUAGAGUUCGAAGGAGAUAGUCAGAGAGUUGUCACAGCUAUCAACAACCAGGCGCCAUCAAAAACCAUGGUUUGGUCAUGUUAUUGAAGAGAUUUGGAUGUUGUAAGAGAUUUUUCAUAAAUAUAGCUUCAAACAUGUAAAAAGAGAGGGCAACCAGCUUGCUCAUUCCCUUG